GCCCGCAUAGCUCAGCUGGCAGAGCAUCUGAUUUGUAAUCAGACGGUCGGUGGUUCGAAUCCGCCUGCGGGCUCCA
rnacentral:tRNA from 1 species